ACUGAAUGGUUAAUAUUAUUGCGUUUUAUGAGCGAUGGCACCAGCUGAAAGUUGUAGUCGAAAACAAGGGUAAUAUCUUCCACACCAGUUAGUCAUGAGCUCACCAAGCAGAGGAGAGUGGUUGAAGCCCAAGGAUGCAUUCCAAAAACUAAAGGCCAAGAAAAAGGCCCUAAAGGCCAGAAUAAAUCAAAGCAUUAGAAAGGAAGCCCUCGCAUCCAGCCAGAUAUCUUCUAGUUUAAAUAGCUGUAAGCAAAAGCGCACAAACCCUUUCAGCUGCGGAGGAGACGACGGUGGCGACGCCAAG